CUAACAUCUCACUACACGUUAAUAUAUUCACUACCUCUCAAUUGUAUCAGCUAAGGGAAGCUUUCUCAUUUACUCUGUUUCAAAUAAACACAUCUAAGAAGAUAUUUCGACCACUGGACUUCAAGAAAUUUCAUCUCCUUGACUCACAGAAACUACCGAGCUCAACCACCACCUUAAGGCUUUGUGACCAGGGGGAUUAGCGCUGCUUUCCCAAGACAGGUUUAUAUGUGAUUAUGAUCUUCAGGCUUUGCCUAUCCAGGUUGGCUGGCCGGUGCUGACGGGACGGAGCUGAGGCUAGCGAUAAAUUCCUAUGAUAGACUUCUGCUGUAGCAAUUACUCAUAUCAGUCUUUUGUUUUCCCAACUUAAGAUCUUCAUGUUAAAUUUCAAAUGAUAUACCUGACCGAACUUAGACUCUUCACUACUAAAUUUAUGCCAAUGAAUGCCGGUUGUCAGAAGCAUGAAACAAAACUUGUGAUCCAAAGGGGCAUAGCCCGACUUUCUAUCAUAUUUCGGGUUUUUACAAGGUUGUUCCUUGUUUA